GGACCCGCACAAGUAGUGGAGCAUGUGGUUUAAUUCGAAGAUACGCGCAGAACCUUACCAACACUUGACAUGUUUGUCGCGACUCUAAGAGAUUAGAGUUUUCGGUCGCCGGACAAACACAGUGCUGCAUGGCUGUCGUCAGCUCGUGUCGUGAGAUGUUGGGUUAAGUCCCGCAACGAGCGCAACCCUCACUUUUAGUUGCCAUCAUUUAGUUGGGCACUCUGAAAGAACUGCCAGUGAUAAAGCUGGAGGAAGGUGGGGAUGACGUCAAGUCCUCAUGGCCCUUACGUGUUGGGCUACACACGUGCUACAAUGGUAUCUACAACAGGAAGCAAGACGGCGACGUUAAGCAAAUCCUUAAAAGAUACCUCAGUUCGGAUUGCACUCUGCAACUCGAGUGCAUGAAGCUGGAAUUACUAGUAAUCGU
rnacentral:rRNA from 1 species